rnacentral:rRNA from 1 species
AGCGAACGCUGGCGGCAGGCCUAACACAUGCAAGUCGAACGAACCUUUCGGGGUUAGUGGCGGACGGGUGAGUAACACGUGGGAACGUGCCUUUAGGUUCGGAAUACCUCAGGGAAACUUGUGCUAAUACCGAAUGUGCCCUUCGGGGGCAAGAUUUAUCGCCUUUAGAGCGGCCCGCGUCUGAUUAGCUAGUUGGUUGAGGUAAUGGCUCACCAAGGCGACGAUCAGUAGCUGGUCUGAGAGGAUGAUCAGCCACAUUGGGACUGAGACACGGCCCAAACUCCUACGGGAGGCAGCAGUGGGGAAUCUUGCGCAAUGGGCGAAAGCCUGACGCAGCCAUGCCGCGUGAAUGAUGAAGGUCUUAGGAUUGUAAAAUUCUUUCACCGGGGACGAUAAUGACGGUACCCGGAGAAGAAGCCCCGGCUAACUUCGUG